rnacentral:rRNA from 1 species
CCCGCUGAACUUAAGCAUAUCACUAAGCGGAGGAGAAGAAACUAACAAGGAUUCCCCCAGUAACUGCGAGUGAACCGGGAACAGUCCAAACUUGUAAUCUUUGUCACGUUGACAACGAAUUGUAGUUUGAAGUCUAGAUGUGCGCGGCAGGCGCGGGCGCCCAACUAAUCCUUGAAUGGUUGACCCUGGAGGGUGAAAGUCCCGUACGGCGCCACGCCAGUCGUCUGCACUGGACCAAGAGUCGGGUUGUUUGGGAUUGCAGUCCAAAGCGGGUGGUAAACUCCAUCUAAGGCUAAAUAUUGGCGAGAGACCGAUAGCGAACAAGUACCGCGAGGGAAAAUUGAAAAGGACUUUGAAAGUAAAGUUAAAAGUGCGUGAAAUUGCUGACAGGGAAGCGAUUAGGUCGGCAGUGCCGGAUGUGUUCGCUCGCUCCGUCGCUUGACGUGACGUGCGAGUUUUGUUGCAUCCGGACAGCCACGCAUUUGGGAUGACACGCGUCGUCGCUGUUUGUCCCGAAUGCGCCCUGGCUGAGCGGGCCUAAACGACCCGUCUUGAAACACGG